GUGUUAUUUCGAUAGCACAUAUACUAAAAUUGGAACAAUACAGAGAAGAUUAGCACAGCGUUUCGCAAAUUUGUGGAUAUGGUUAAUUCUUCU
rnacentral:snRNA from 1 species